GGCCCAGAUGGGUCUAGAAAAUUAUGCAAAAACAACAACAAAACAUAUUGGUAGACGUCACUUUUCAAUUUCAAUUUCAGAGUCCCACACCCUUAAAAACCCUAAUCUCAAUCAAUCAAGCAAGGAGUAGGAAACCUCAAAUGAAUUCAUAGACUAAAAUAGUCUCAGAGUGAAGAAGGAAGGAGUAGGAAGACAAGCCACAUCAGGCAUAGGCUUAGGGGGGUGGUAGGAAAUUCGUACCUCUAAAUCGUGGCAAAUGGAAAUGCUCAGGAUAUGCUUUGUUAUGAUCACCAUUGCCCUCGUCUUCUCUCUGUUGCUUCCUUCCGCCAAUGCUGCUCAAGUUCCUGCCCCUGCACCUUCCCCAUCAAGCGAUGGUAUGCUCCAUCCCCUCUCUCCAAAGUUUUUGGCAACAUUUUUCUCUUCCGCUGGUUUUAGGGCUGCAAAUCUCAAGGUCUCAUGUUUAGCGUUCUCUUGCAUAAUUUAUGUGACAAGUGCUGCUGAUUCUAAUCUGGUGUAAAAAUUUCUUUCUGCUGCAGGGGUUUCGGUUGAUCAAGGAAUAGCAUAUGUCCUGAUGCUUGUUGCUCUGGCAGUUACCUACAUUUUUCACUAAAGAGUACAUAGACAAUUCUGCUCUGUAUUUCAGCUCAACUCAUCUUAGAUAAUGAGAUCCUGUCUUUU
rnacentral:lncRNA from 1 species